GACGAACGCUGGCGGCGUGCCUAAUCCAUGCAAGUCGAGCGCAGCGGCGGAUGGGUGAGUAACGCGUGGGUAACCUGCCCUUAAGUCUGGGAUACCAUUUGGAAACAGAUGCUAAUACCGGAUACUAAAGGAUGGACCUGCGAUGAAUUAGCUAGUUGGUAAGGUAACGACUUACCAAGGCGAUGAUGCAAAGCCGAGUUGGAGGACUGAUCGGCCACAUUGGGCAUGAGACAGGCCCAGAACUCUAACGGUGGGCGGCGGGAGGAAAUCUCCCACAAUGGAGGAAGGUCGGAUGGAGAAACGCCGCGUGAGUGCAGAGGGUUUGCGGAUCGUAAAGCUCUGUUGUUGGUGAAGCGGUAAUCAACCAGAAAGUCACGGCUAACUACGUGCCAGCAGCCGCGGUAAUUC
rnacentral:rRNA from 1 species